rnacentral:rRNA from 1 species
UACGUAGGGUGCAAGCGUUGUCCGGAAUUAUUGGGCGUAAAGAGCUCGUAGGCGGUCUGUCGCGUCUGCUGUGAAAAACUCGGGGCUUAACCCCCGGGCCUGCAGUGGGUACGGGCAGACUAGAGUGCGGUAGGGGGAGACUGGAAUUCCUGGUGUAGCGGUGAAAAUGCGCAGAUAUCAGAGGAACACCGUGGCGAAGGCGGGUCUCUGGGCCGAUACUGACGCUGAGGAGCGAAAAGCGUGGGGGAGC